GUGGGAACCGCACGGCCGCAAAUCUGACUUGCCAUCGGUUCUGAUGGCUUGGGAUUGCGGAAGUGC
ncrna:unclassified sequences S15-Halobacteria ribosomal protein leader